rnacentral:rRNA from 1 species
UACGAAGGGUGCAAGCGUUAAUCGGAAUUACUGGGCGUAAAGCGUGCGUAGACGGCUUAUUAAGUCGGAUGUGAAAGCCCCGGGCUCAACCUGGGAAUGGCAUUCGAUACUGGUUCGCUAGAGUGCGGUAGAGGAGAGCGGAAUUCCCGGUGUAGCGGUGAAAUGCGUAGAGAUCGGGAGGAACAUCCGUGGCGAAGGCGGCUCUCUGGACCAGCACUGACGUUGAGGCACGAAAGCGUGGGGAGCAAACAGG